rnacentral:rRNA from 1 species
UACGGAAGGUGCGAGCGUUGUCCGGAAUCACUGGGCGUAAAGGGCGCGUAGGCGGCGCGGGGAGUCAACGGUGAAAGCUCGGCGCUCAACGCCGAGUCGGCCGUCGAUACUCCCGUGCUUGAGCACUGUAGAGGCAGGUGGAAUUCCGGGUGUAGCGGUGGAAUGCGUAGAGAUCCGGAAGAACACCGGUGGCGAAGGCGGCCUGCUGGGCAGUAGCUGACGCUGAGGCGCGACAGCGUGGGGAGCAAACAGG